rnacentral:rRNA from 1 species
UACAUGAAGCUGGAAUCGCUAGUAAUCGCGAAUCAGAAUGUCGCGGUGAAUACGUUCCCGGGUCUUGUACACACCGCCCGUCACACCAUGGGAGUCGGAAAUGCCCGAAGUCAGUGACCUAACCGAAAGGGAGGAGCUGCCGAAGGUGGAGCCGGUAACUGGGGUGAAGUCGUAACAAGGUAAC